UUAGAUUGGGCUAACUCAAACAGCUUGGGCGAGCUUCGUCAAAACAAAUAGCCUUUGAUUCCUGAUUAUCACAUUACAUUACAGUUACAGAAAAAAACUAAUUCAUCCGGCGAUAUUACUGUGCUAAGCACUGUGGAUACAGACUGUGAUUUCCUAUGGAUUUCAAUAGUGUGGCAUCUAAGGCUAUGAAUGUGACCUUCGUGUGUGAUCGACUAAUCUUGGUUGAUGGAGAUUUUGCUGCCCAGGAGUAUCUGGCUUGAGCUGUUUUCGGGGGGGCUACUUGGUUUGUAUGCUAACAGAAAAGGGUCUCCCCAGUUGUGGUCUCUCUGCAAUCACUUCCCUGGUUAAUUACACCUUUAUCGUCAUAAAAUUUCUCAAUCAAAUCCUAUAUAAUAUUACUAAACAUGUUAUACGUGAAUGGUUUGAACAAGAUUCUCUCCUACUUUUAUAGUUUUGAUGGCUUACACUAUAGUUUAGACUAAGCAUUUCUUUCUUUUAUGAUGAUUGGAUUACAGUGGAAUGCAAUCUUUUUCGGGCUUCUUAUUUAUUUUGAGUAGUGAAAGGACUUCCCUUGAAAAACAAAAAUUUAAUUGUUCUACAAAGCUGUGUUAUGAUGAGAAUUCAUUAUUACAUUCAAAUAUUGCAAUAACAUUGAUGAAGGGGCAAAAAAUGGCCAUCUAAUUUCGACCUUUUAUUGAUACUUUACUUGGAAUAUUUGAGCUUGGUGCACCUCAUUCAAAUGGUGGUGAACAAGCACAGCGUAGGGUAAAUUGAAGGAGAAAAGGAAAGCUGAAGCAGAAGCACCAUUGAGACCUUGUACUGCGGCCGUUCUCUACCGGUUAAUCGGUUUCCGAGGAGGCACUUUAUUUGCGUAAUGAAUUCAUCGUUCAGACUGUGUAGUGGGGGUUGACAUCAAUAUCCAAACCCCUUAACUUGGCAAUGGACUCUACCUUGCCUUUCAGGGUGUGAAGCUCUCGUAAUCUGCUUGGCAUGAAAAGAGACAUCAAAUUUGUAUGCAAUACCGUAAGUGGAAUCGUGAUGAAUAAGCAUGAAAUAUGAAAUUCGGAGGAAAGAGACCAAACCUUGCAAUCUCUGCACGUCUUCUGGCUUCUUCUGCCAUGAUGUUAAUGUCCCUGAAAGUGUGCUUUUCGGAGAACGAUUUUGCUUCCAUAGAUUGGAGGCCAUGAAGUGUUCGCUGCUCAGCCGCCCACGCAGCUUUUCGAGCUUCCUUACCGAAGUCCUUUUGGGUGGUCAUUGCUGUCUGAGAACAAUAAAUAAUGGCCAAAUCUCAGAAGGAAGUUUUCAAGAAUUUAAAUGAAAGACGAUUAAGGUUUUCUUUCACUCACUCUUUGGUUAUAUACCAGACUCCAGGCUCUGCCACUCUGUGCAUAUCGAACAGCGAACUUGAUAGGAUCAAGCAGCUUGUAUGUGACAAUGUUGUAUAGCCAUAUGACAGCAGUCCAGCGCCAGCCAAUCUUACUGAUUCCAGCAAAAUCCCAUGUUGCUGUGGCAGAGAUCACAGUUGCAAUCUGUACCAGUUAAACAGUUAGUUUAGAACUGUAGUCUCUUUGGACUAGAAAGUAAAAAUAAAUCUUUCAGGCAAUGAAAUAUUGUUUAAUAACUUGCAA